rnacentral:pre_miRNA from 1 species
UGAGGUAGUAGGUUGUAUAGUUUGUGGGAUGGACUCAAUCCUAUUCAGGUGAUAACUAUACAGCCUAUUACCUUCC